AGAGUUUGAUCCUGGUUCUAAGUGUUUCCUGGCGGCGUGCCUAACACAUGCAAGUCGAACGAGAACGGAUAUAAGUUUACUUAUAUUGUCAGCUAAGUGGCGCACGGGUGAGUAAUAUAUAGUUAAUCUGCCCUGAAGAAGAGAAUAAUUGUUGGAAACGACUUGUAAUGCUCUAUAUGCCUUUAUCACAUAAGUGAGCAAGGGAAAUAUUUAUAGCUUCGGGAUGAGACUGUACGGUAUCAGCUAGUUGGUGAGGUAAUGGCUCACCAAGGCUAUGACAUCUAACUGGUUUGAGAGGAUGAUCAGUCACACUGGAACUGAGACACGGUCCAGACUCCUACGGGAGGCAGCAGUGGGGAAUAUUGCACAAUGGAGGAAACUCUGAUGCAGCAACGCCGCGUGGAGGAUGACACAUUUCGGUGCGUAAACUCCUUUUAUUAGGGAAGAUAAUGACGGUAUCAUAUGAAUAAGCACCGGCUAACUCCGUGCCAGCAGCCGCGGUAAUACGGGGGGUGCAAGCGUUACUCGGAAUCACUGGGCGUAAAGAGCAUGUAGGCUGUAGAUUAAGUUGGAAGUGAAAUCCUAUGGCUCAG
rnacentral:rRNA from 1 species